AUAUCUUGUCUGUAUCAGCUAAAAUGCUAGAAACUUGAAUCAUUUAGCUAAAUAUUGAAUUGUUAUGAGAAAUGAAAUUAGUUUAAUUAUAUGCACAUCAAUGGCUUCUUUAUGUUUCAAAGCUAUUAAAGAGGAAGAUUGUUUUAUUUCUCAUGCAGACUUGCAUGAUCAACAUGACAUGCUUGGGAUCAUCCAACUUUUGAAGCCAGGAUUGUGAAGGUUAAUCUGAUGGUUCCAAGACAGUUUCAGUGAUAAAAUAAACAAUGCAGCUUACCCAAAGUUGGCAUCA
rnacentral:misc_RNA from 1 species